CCAUCUCUGUAGCACAACAGACGUACCCGAGCGGAAAGCAGGAGCAGCCGUGAUCCGGGGAUCGGGUUCAGGCCGAGAUUGAGAGUGGGAGAGAGCGAGAAGCAGAGAGCGAAGAGUGAGGUGGUGAGUGAAGGGCCUCAUCCGGUAGCCGCUGCGUCUGGGCCUCGGCCACCUACCCUCACCGACGCGUGCCUCUCCCUCACGAUUCGUGCAGCCCUGAAUGUUUCUGCCCUCAUUAUACUCUUUCUUUUUAUGAGCCGUAUGCAUGCUAGCGGUUAAAUCGUGGGAUGUGUCGGUGAAGCGAAGGCCUUGUGAGGAUUCCUGAAUGAGUCCUCGCCUCCUGGCCAUCAACUGGCGAUGGCAAACUGCCAAAGAAAUCAAAAUGACAGCACAAUCGAAUCGAAACAUUACAUGAAGUGAUCGGAAACGAAACCGACAUAAAGAGAGAGUACCAAGUGGGCUGAUUGACGGCCAACAGACAAAGGCGAGGCCGCAAUCCGCAAGAUCAAGAGAGAGACUGGACGAGACGGCGACUCAGGCGAGACCAGAGAGGGAAAAAAAAAA